UACAGAGGUCCCGAGCGUUGUUCGGAUUCAUUGGGCGUAAAGGGCGCGUAGGCGGGCGGUCAAGUCAGGGGUGAAAUCUUUCGGCUCAACCGGAAAAGUGCCUCUGAUACUGGCCGUCUCGAGGGAGGUAGGGGCAUGCGGAACUUCCGGUGGAGCGGUGAAAUGCGUAGAUAUCGGAAGGAACGCCGGUGGCGAAAGCGGCGUGCUGGACCUCUUCUGACGCUGAGGCGCGAAAGCCAGGGGAGCAAACGGG
rnacentral:rRNA from 1 species